rnacentral:lncRNA from 1 species
GAUUUACAAAGUUUAACGUAUCAUGUUACGGAAUUGAAAUUCAUUUGAUAUCAGUGAAAGUCCGACCAGAGUACAAUAUAAUUUACCCAGCAAUCCUUGUUAAAUGGAAUUUGUUAAAUUUGAAAGCUACCUGUAAUUCUUAUCUCAAAAGCUCAAGAAAAGCUAAGCAGAUGAUUGAUUUACUCGAAAUAAGAAAACUAAAUAUUUGAGACAGCAAUGUCUAUCUGUGCUGGCCAUAUAAUGUCAUUAAGUUACUCAAUUUGCUGCAAAUCUUUAAAUGAAAGGGCAACUCAAUUUUCUACAAGAUUUUCCAAUGCAUCAAAAGUGUCAUUUCUUUUGUCGCAGUAUGUAGCAUUUUGUGUUAACUAACCUGCUGACAGCAUUUGUAAGUUUCUAGUUAAUUUAUGUUGGUGUAAGUGCUGAAAGAAUUUGAUUUAUGGAUGGAGACCUCAUCAGUGUUGGAGAACCCUUAUCAUGACAAAGCUUUAGUCCCAUCCCCUGAUGUUGAGUGUUAGCUCUUAGUUAAAAUUUGCCUCGACAGCAUUGAAAUCUUCAAAACAAACUACAAGCACUCAAAUUUUGUGCACACAUGUGUAUAAGUAAAUCUUACUGCAAAGGUUUGUUUUCUGACUACACAUUGGCUGCUUGAGGCAUUUAAAACUUCGUUUUGCCCUCUAUACGCCUAAAAGUGGUUGUUGAAAAACUGACACGGCAAUGAUCUUGAGCUGACCUACCAAAAAAAAAAAAAAAAAAUGAUCUUGAGCUGUUGCUUAUCAACAAUCUUAGAGGAAGUUAUGUUCGCAUCAUGCGUUCUGUGUGUCUCUCUGUUGAGAGAUUUUGGUUAGUCUAUCUUUGACCUUUUUAUUGGUAACCAUCUGUCAAGUGC